AAAAUAAUUUAAAGUUCAAAUUGUGAACAAAAUAAAAUUUAAAAAAAACAAAACGCCGUCUGUGGGAAUCGAACCCACGACCACAUGGUUAAAAGCCAUGCGCUCUACCGGCUGAGCUAAGACGGCAAUGUGGUCAGAGCCAACUACUUAAAUUUAUAUAUUUAUGAGAAGAUACUACCACUUGACCAAGCCCAUUGGGCCUGUGAGUUUUAUCGGCCCAUUUAGGCAAUCUUCUUAAUUUGGGCCUAGCCCAACAAAUUACAAAAACCCAAUGGACUGCUUCUUUCUUUCUUUUCUUCCCUGUUCGUCUGAGUGAGUGAGUGAGUGAGCUGAGCUGAGCUCAGCCACCAAUGGCUGCCUGGACAAAGCUUCUCCACCGCUUCAUUCCCACUCGAACCUUCGUCAACGCCAGAGUCAAAUGGGUUCGAGACCCAUACCUCGAUUUCGCCGUCGAAAGAGAAAAGAAUCUCAUACAAGCCAUAUCAUUCAAGGACCAAAUAUGCUCAGACCCUUCAAAAUCACUCCCUCUCUCUAUAGCCUCUCUCCUCAAGCCUCGCCUCGACCUCACCAUCACUUCUGCUAAGUUCUUCCAGAAAUACCCUUCUUUCUUUUCCAUCUUCCAGCCGAGUCCCGGCCUUCCUCGUCGUGUCAAACUCACCCGACAAGCUCUCUCCAUCCACAGAGAAGAGUACGCCGUUCACAGCUCCCUCCCGCAUCGAUACGACGCCGUACACCGCCUCGCCAGGCUACUCAUGCUCACCGGAGCAGCUAGAUUGCCCAUUUACGUGAUCGAGAGGCUAAAAUGGGAUUUGGGUCUUCCUCACAAUUUCGUGGUUUCGCUUGUGAUCGAUUUUCCCGAUUACUUUCAGGUUUGCGAAGUGGAUGACCCUCGUAAUGGUAGAAAGGAGCUCGCUUUGGAGUUAGUUUCGUGGAGAAAGGAACUUGCCUUGUCUGAAUUGGAGAAGAAAGCUUUAAACGACGGUUACUCAACGAAGCGCAUUGCGUUUCCGAUGUUUUUCCCAAGAGGGUUUGAUUUGGAGAAGAAGAUUAAGGACUGGGUCGAAGAGUGGCAGCGUUUGCCUUACAUUUCUCCGUACGAAAAUGGAUUCCAUCUUUCUCCGAAUAGUGAUCAAGCUGAGAAGUGGACGGUUGCGGUUCUCCACGAGUUGCUAUGGCUUAUGGUUUCGAAGAAGACUGAUAGAGAUAACUUGUUUUGCUUAGGAGAGUAUUUGGGGUUUGGGUCGAUGAUGUUUAAGAAGGCUCUGGUGCAUCACCCGGGUAUUUUUUAUCUUUCGAACAAGAUCAGAACACAGACUGUGGUGCUUAGAGAGGCUUAUAGAAAGGAUUUCUUGCUUGAGAAGCACCCAUUGAUGGGCAUUAGAUAUCGUUACAUACAUCUCUUGAAUAAGGUUCCCAUGAUGAUACGUAAACCUGCUAUUGGUUCGGCUCCUGGAAGCAAACCACAUGACACUACAGUUGCCAAUGGAGUUGGCCGUAAUCUAAGUUUUGAAGGAACUAACUCAUAGUUAUACCAUGGUGGUUGUGCUUGAUAAUCAACUAUCUCAAGACGAAGUUAUUGACUUUGGGAGCAGUUUCAUUGCAGCAUUGUACAGAUAAUCAAUCUUAAUGGCACAGAGAAGAUGUUCAAACUGGUCUAGUGGGAUCCCUAGAACACAGCCUCUGCACCAAGUUGGAUGUUGGGUCCAAAAUCUAAGCUGUGAAGUCAACAGCUUGCUGAGAAGGCAGACCAUUGCAAAAACAUAGAUGGGCUUAGUUCUAAAGCUAUUUGUUUGUUCAGCUGAAUCCCAUGUUUGACAUGGCUCUUGUUUUCGCAUAAUCAUGGCUCGAUCGACGAAAAUACAUCGAAACAGCUUCACCCCAGAAGGGCAAUGGUGUUUUCUUUUUCUCUGAAUUGAUUUUUUUAAAAAUUUUAAUUGAAGUUGGAUGUGAGGGUUAUUUUGGGAAGUUGAAGUGUAAUGUUUAUGCAAAAUUGUUUGAUUAGUCUUUAAUAAGUUCUUUGAUUAGUCUCAAUUCAAAGCUAAGGCCCUAUUGAUUUCUUCUAUAAGAUCUAUAGGAAUUUGGAUAGAUUGAGUAAAAGAUAGACAUUGAAGUGUAGUGUUAUGCAAAAGAAAAAAAAAGAAAAAAAAAAGAGAAAUUUGUGAGAUGUUGAGUUGAGACCAACUAAAUUUCAUGAUUACUUGGGCAAGUUUUAGUUACUUCUAU